UAUAUCAACAGCUUAGAUUCAAUCUCUCAUUUUUGGGUCGCCUCCAAGAAACCCUCGCAAAGUACAUGGUUGAGGUAUAUGGAAAUGGAACCCCAAAAGCUAGAGGUUGUUCUUGCAUGGUAGAUCAAUUGUAUGUAGAAGAACUUCUGAGGCUUUUUCAUGGGACUUGAUUCGUUAGGAGUACUUGGAGACUGGAUAGAUUACUAGCUAUUGUUUAUGAAACUUGAUGGUGCUCUAUGUAAUAAAAGGUUCCGAAUUGCGGCUGAGAUAGCCACUGGUCUGCUCUUUCUCCAUCAGACCAAGCCAGAGCCACUGGUUCAACGUGACCUCAAGCCAGGAAACAUUACUCCAGCAACAUGUUCUCAUUUAGAAAUUCAAGGUACUCUUCAUCUCAGCUCUCAUAUGGGCAUUAUAUGCUUGACCGGAUUUCAAAUCUUCAGACCACCUUUUCAGUAUCGAUCAUCUGUUUCCACCUCCAAACCAUGGGGGUUGGCUCUAAAGAUUACCCCUGGAUCUAAAAGGUUGGUAGCAAUCAUGCAGACAAACACGUUGCUAGACUUCGAUCAGGACAAAAAUGCUGCUCCCAAGAGUGGUAUGUUUGGUCUGAUGUUAUACUUGGUGGCCAGAAGCAGUUUGUAAAUACCAAGGUCAUGCCAUGACUUCUUGAAUUUUUCUUUUAGCUUGGCCAAGAUUUAAUUCCACCUUUAUCUUUUUGUCCAGAAACUAACAUUCAAUAAUGGCACUUGGUCGGUCUUCAUUGGAAAUGAAA